rnacentral:tRNA from 1 species
GGGGUGUAGCUCAGUGGUAGAGUGCUUGCCUACCAUGCAGGAGGCCCUGGGUUUGAUUUCCAGCACCACCA